GAUGAACGCUGGCGGCGUGCUUAACACAUGCAAGUCGAACGGAGAUUACUUUUUAGCUUGCUAAGUUGUAAUCUUAGUGGCGGACGGGUGAGUAACGCGUGGGUAACCUGCCUUAUCCAGGGGGAUAACAGUGAGAAAUUACUGCUAAUACCGCAUAAGCGCACAGUUUCGCAUGAAACAGUGUGAAAAGAUUUAUCGGGAUAAGAUGGACCCGCGUCUGAUUAGCUAGUUGGUGAGGUAACGGCCCACCAAGGCGACGAUCAGUAGCCGGCCUGAGAGGGUGAACGGCCACAUUGGGACUGAGACACGGCCCAAACUCC
rnacentral:rRNA from 1 species